rnacentral:rRNA from 1 species
GAUGAACGCUGGCGGCGUGCCUAAUACAUGCAAGUCGAGCGAACAGACGAGGAGCUUGCUCCUCUGACGUUAGCGGCGGACGGGUGAGUAACACGUGGAUAACCUACCUAUAAGACUGGGAUAACUUCGGGAAACCGGAGCUAAUACCGGAUAACAUGUUGAACCGCAUGGUUCAACAGUGAAAGACGGUCUUGCUGUCACUUAUAGAUGGAUCCGCGCCGCAUUAGCUAGUUGGUAAGGUAACGGCUUACCAAGGCAACGAUGCGUAGCCGACCUGAGAGGGUGAUCGGCCACACGGGAACUGAGACACGGUCCAGACUCCUAAGGGAGGCAGCAGUAGGGAAUCGUCCGCAAUGGGCGAAAGCCUGACGGAGCAACGCCGCGUGAGUGAAGAAGGUCUUCGGAUCGUAAAACUCUGUUAUUAGGGAAGAACAAAUGUGUAAGUAACUAUGCACGUCUUGACGGUACCUAAUCAGAAAGCCACGGCUAACUACGUG